CAGUCGAGCGGACUAAUGGGAGCUUGCUCCCGUUAGUUAGCGGCGGACGGGUGAGUAACACGUGGGCAACCUACCUGUAAGACUGGGAUAACUUCGGGAAACCGGAGCUAAUACCGGAUGACAUAAAGGAACUCCUGUUCCUUUAUUGAAAGAUGGCUUCGGCUAUCACUUACAGAUGGGCCCGCGGCGCAUUAGCUAGUUGGUGAGGUAACGGCUCACCAAGGCGACGAUGCGUAGCCGACCUGAGAGGGUGAUCGGCCACACUGGGACUGAGACACGGCCCAGACUCCUACGGGAGGCAGCAGUAGGGAAUCUUCCGCAAUGGACGAAAGUCUGACGGAGCAACGCCGCGUGAGCGAUGAAGGCCUUCGGGUCGUAAAGCUCUGUUGUUAGGGAAGAAUAAGUGCUAGUUGAAUAAGCUGGCACCUUGACGGUACCUAACCAGAAAGCCACGGCUAACUACGUGCCAGCAGCCGCGGUAAUACGUAGGUGGCAAGCGUUGUCCGGAAUUAUUGGGCGUAAAGCGCGCGCAGGCGGUUUCUUAAGUCUGAUGUGAAAGCCCCCGGCUCAACCGGGGAGGGUCAUUGGAAACUGGGAAACUUGAGUGCAGAAGAGGAAAGUGGAAUUCCAAGUGUAGCGGUGAAAUGCGUAGAGAUUUGGAGGAACACCAGUGGCGAAGGCGACUUUCUGGUCUGUAACUGACGCUGAGGCGCGAAAGCGUGGGGAGCAAACAGG
rnacentral:rRNA from 1 species